CGAGAUCCGGCAUGUGUAACAUAUAGUAAAGACUAAUGUUAUUACAAACCACACAAAAAAUAGAAAGGAAUCUUUCUUCAAAACUUUUUGCGAUAAACAUAUAAUAUAUGGUUGAAGAACCCCUCACCAGUAUGAGAAGCGAUGGCAUAUCGUGAGGAUACCAUAGUACAUGUAACAAACAAGAAACGCAAUGGCAAAUAAAUAUCAUUAAAGAAUCACUAGCAGUAGCCACCCCACUCA
rnacentral:lncRNA from 1 species